CGGAUUGUAGUCUGCAACCCGACUACAUGAAGCUGGAAUCGCUAGUAAUCGCGAAUCAGCAUGUCGCGGUGAAUACGUUCCCGGGUCUUGUACACACCGCCCGUCACACCAUGGGAGUUGGUAACGCCCGAAGUCAGUGACCUAACCGCAAGGGAGGAGCUGCCGAAGGUGGGGCCAGUAACUGGGGUGAAGUCGUAACAAGGUAAC
rnacentral:rRNA from 1 species